rnacentral:misc_RNA from 1 species
AGACAACGGCAGUCCAGCGGGAAAGCUGGUACAAAACCACAACAAUCUGUUGAACAAACAGAAAAGGCUCCAGGACAAGAGACUCGUGAUAGAUCGUCAGGUGCACUUGAAGCAUUCAGUAGAAGACUUGCGUCUGGUGUUGGACAGCAGGGUGACCGCUUGAAGCACAGGACAUCAGAGGAUGCAUCAUCAUCUAAGGAGGCACGAACUCAUUCAGAAAGAGGCC